UCAAGAGAAUUAUGGUUAGGAGAUGUUGUGUGAGGGGGUGAGGCAUGUUGGAGUAAAACAUCAUCUUCAAUGUAGGAAGGGUCUGUAUGAUAAGGGGUGUUGGGUGUUGAGGUGUUAGAGUAGAGUGUGGGCGUGUGGGUGGAUUGGGUUGUGGCAGUAGUGGUUAACACGUGUGGGCGUACAAUAGGUGCUGUUGUGCCAUAGCGACGGCGGGUGGAGGCUGUGGAGAGAUUAUAAUGAUGAGUGUUAGCAGUGUGGGAGGGAGGGGGGUUGUGUGUUGUUAUCAGAGGAAAAGUGGAAAGGAGGUGAGGUGUGGGAGGGGGUACGUCUUGGGAUCACAGAUUGUGGUACAGCACUUUCCCCGUAUGGUACAUAACUUUUUGGUUUGGAUCGGGUAUUCGUACCAAGACGUAGGGGCCUAAAGUGGCGUGGUAGUGAGGUGGGUGUGAUCAUAUGGUAUGGUGAUGUUGGAGGGUGAUGGUGAAGGAUGGCUAAUAAGGUAAUGUAGAGUGGAGAUGGUAGUAAUGUAAUUAAGGUGAAAAGGUGGAUAGUUUAGUCUAGUAGGUGGUGGAGGGUGGUGAAAAGAUAAAGUGGGACUAUAGAAUAGGUUGUGGUAGUGUGGUGGGUAGGUGAAAAAGAAAAAUAAUAAUAAUAAUAAUAUUGUGUGGUAGAGAGAUGGCUAAUGGCUGUGUUGGUGGGGAAAAAAUUGGUACGGUGUAUAGGUAAGAGUGGUGGUGAGGGGGAUGUGGAGUAGAUAAGGCUUAUAAUUUAGCGUGAUGGGUCUGUGUGUGUUAAAAUGGUAGUGGUGCGGAGGUCGAUUUCGAAUUUGUAAGGUUAUGGUUUAAAUGUGGGUGAUAAUAUAUCGUUAUGAGAGUGAGUGAGUGUGGUAUUGUAGUAUAUAGGAAGGCGGUGAUAGAAGAUGAAGAUGGUGAUAGGUUGAGAUAAGUAGGUGGAGAGGUGGUUGUGUAGCGAAUGGUGAAACUUAGUUUAUGUUUGUGAAGUUGCAGUGUGAAGGAAGGGGAAGGGGUGAUAGGGUUAUCAGGUUAUGUUCGGGUGGUUAAGAUUAUGGAUUAUGAGACGACGAGUUAAGGUUGUUAUAAGAGAUGGGGUUGAUAAUAAAACGACAUGAGAGUUAUGAAUAAAGGGUUUUUUUUGUUGAGUGGAGAAGGUAGUUAGUAAAUAUGGUAUUAUGUGGAGAUUGAAACAGUUAAAAUCGGUAGCUUGUAGCUCCGAACGUCAAAAGCAAAGGUCCACCGAUCGUGGAGAUAUUAAGAGAUAUUACGACCCACCGAUGGAGCUAUGGGUACCUAGAAGUUUCAAAAGUCUCGCUAAAAUUUAGCAAAAUCUUGGAAUCUCGGUGCUUUUUACGCAAGUCCAAAAGUCCCGUUUUUCUGAAAAUUGCGUGCUCUGUCUCAGAUUCAAAUUUUUUUUUAAAAAGUCUAGGGCUCGGAUUCUGAAACACGGGUCUUGGCGCCUCGGCAAGUCUCGGAAUUACCUAUCGCUACCGUUUUUGAAGUGGCGUUUAGCGCGCCGGAAAUGGGAACACGAAACACGUUUAUCGCCGGCGUUGCGUAGACGCUACGAGAGUAUUUGUUAGGCUUAAUAAAUUGAGGAGACUAUCCAAAAAUGUUUUUCAUGCCUUGAAAGACAUUCAGAAAAUUCUGAAACCCGCACCCUUUUUGAAAAACCGUACACCUUCAGAAACUGAACAAAACAACUACCCGCGACUAAUGACCGCCGGUCGCCAGCUCACUAUUUCCGUUACAGGCACUGGAGAGGCUGAACCACAAAGCGUCUCGAGAAAGAGUCAGAAAAUUCGGAAAUCCGCGACCCGCGACUUGUUCAACAAAGUGACCGCACGCGCAGGUAGUCUGGUAUUUUAUCGGUCGCUACCACGCCCAUAUAAAUCUAGCUUUUUUAAUAUCCGAUGUGAAUUAAUUUAUCUCGUCAGGUAAAAAAAAACAUAUAAUCAGAAAAAAGUAUCGUUAUCCGAACUGCCUCAAACCUAAAAUGCAUAAAAAAAAACUGGUUUAACAAAUAAUCACAAACCAACUCACCAUAAAAAGCCAUCAACGUGACGCAGUUUAGUUUCUUGAUGACCAUUUCUGUGUUGCACUUCUUGCAACGUGCCGGGUUUUCCAAUAAGGAAUGGUCUUGCAGCCAUGUAAUUAGUGUUUCAGUUGGCCCGAACGCAAAUCUAGUGAUUGUCUUUAAGUCCAUUUCAAGGGUGGAUCUUCACAACAAAUCAAUGGAACGAUCUGAAACACGAUGUCGGUCUCACGCAGAGAUCUCGCAUGACUUCCGAUUUAUCACUUAAUGAUUGACCAAUUUUGUACCACGUGAUGUCGAGUCCCCCGUGCCUGUUACUCUUCUCACCUCAUACUUAGUGUGGAAGAGUCGACUCUGCGAGAAACAUGUCUCAAAAGAAAGGAAAGUUCCGCGUUUUUUUAGACGGGGAUGACUCAUCGGAUGAUAAUAUAGCGAAUAAGGCUAUAGAGAGAAAGUAUACGAAGACUUUUGUAAUCAUGAGCGGCCCUAAUCGGCCGAUGCGAGUGCCGCACAGCUUGGAGCCGUUGACUCUGACAAACAGAGUGGCGGAGGUUACUUUUUGCCGGUCGUGGAACAAAGUUCAAGUGUACGGAGUAUUGUGCUCUAAUCUACCUGCACUCUCGACUAGACACGCAGCCAGCCUUAGAUGGUUCAGGAGCCAAGACAGGGGGUCCAAAAUGGAAAAGGUUGCGUGUGGAAUGGUAAGUAGUGAGCAAAUUGCAGCAGCCUACCCUAGGGCCGAAACAGAAGGUCUAUCUCUGGUUGGAGCCAGAAGGGCAAGAAGGUGAAUAUUAUUAUUGUUUGUUGUAAGAUUUGUGUGAUUCCAGAAAUGAUUCAGCCCCCUCCCAUCUACCGCCUGUAAUUUUAUCAAAAAUCCAAAAAAUAGGUAACAAAUAGAAUGGAAUUUGACCCACCCUCUUUCCAAAAGAGACAAACAGUAUUUUAGGCAUCAUACUAAAAUACUUAUCCUUAUCCUUAUUUUUCUGGGAGGUCCUUUGAUUUUUAUCAGAGCUUCGCAGGACAUCCAAAUAUACUAAACUAUCAUCAGUUAGACCUAUAAGUUGAAAAUGCUCAAUUGUCAUAAAGAUAUCUGCUAUUUCUUUUUUCUGCUCUAAUUUUAUUGAUAUAUCUUAAUACAUAAAGUUGCUUUGUCCCAUACUCCCCAGUUUAUCCUAAAAUGUUAAAAAAAUGAAUUGCAGGAGUUGUGUCCAAUAUUUGUGUCAGGGGUCAUUUCAUUUUUCCUGUCUAACAUUUAAAAAACAUAACUGCCUGUUACAAAGGCUAUUUGUACAACAGUCACAUGUUUAAAUUAACCACACUUUCAUUUCUUUUUUUAAGGUAGCAUGCAAAGUUAAAAAAAAAUGACUAAGGUGAGUACAGUUUGUACUUAACGAGCCCAUUUAGUAUCCAAAAGCAAUUAGAGCUGGGAUGACCGACCAGACAGAAAAGGUGCAAGUGUCGUGUGCCUGGACUUGAGGGUGUUGUUGCCAGGAGUGACAUUUACCUGACAGGGAAGGUACAAGUGUCGUGUGCCUGGACUGAAGGGUUGUUUUUUUGCCAGGAGUGACAUUUACCUGACAGGGAAGGUACAAGCGUCGUGUGCCUGGACUUGAGGGUGUUGUUGCCAGGAGUGACAUUUACCUGACAGGGAAGGUACAAGCGUAGUGUGCCUGGACUUGAGGGUGUUGUUGCCAGGAGUGACAUUUACCUGACAGGGAAGGUACAAGCGUAGUGUGCCUGGACUGAAGGGUGUUGUUGCCAGGAGUGACAUUGACCUGACAGGGAAGGUACAAGCGUCGUGUGCCUGGACUUGAGGGUGUUGUUGCCAGAAGUGACAUUUACCUGACAGGGAAGGUACAAGCGUCAUGUGCCUGGACUUGAGGGUGUUGUUGGCAGGAGUGACAUUUACCUGACAGGGAAGGUACAAGCGUCGUGUGCCUGGACUGAAGGGUUUUUUUUUGCCAGGAGUGACAUUUACCUGACAGGGAAGGUACAAGUGUCGUGUGCCUGGACUUGAGGGUGUUGUUGCCAGGAGUGACAUUUACCUGACAGGGAAGGUACAAGCGUCGUGUGCCUGGACUUGAGGGUGUUGUUGCCAGGAGUGACAUUUACCUGACAGGGAAGGUACAAGCGUCGUGUGCAUGGACUGAAGGGUGUUGUUGCCACGAGUGACAUUUACCUGGCAGGGAAGGUACAAGCGUCGUGUGCCUGGACUUGAGGGUGUUGUUGCCAGGAGUGACAUUAACCUGACAGGGAAGGUACAAGCGUCGUGUGCCUGGACUUGAGGGUGUUGUUGCCAGGAGUGACAUUUACCUGACAGGGAAGGUACAAGUGUCGUGUGCCUGGACUUGAGGGUGUUGUUGCCAGGAGUGACAUUUACCUGACAGGGAAGGUACAAGUGUCGUGUGCCUGAACUUGAGGGUGUUGUUGCCAGGAGUGACAUUUACCUGACAGGGAAGGUACAAGCGUCGUGUGCCUGGACUGAAGGGUGUUGUUGCCACAAGUGACAUUUACCUGACAGGGAAGGUACAAGCGUCGUGUGCCUGGACUUGAGGGUGUUGUUGCCAGGAGUGACAUUAACCUGACAGGGAAGGUACAAGUGUCGUGUGCCUGGACUUCAGGGUGUUGUUGCCAGGAGUGACAUUUACCUGACAGGGAAGGUACAAGUGUCGUGUGCCUGGACUGAAGGGUGUUGUUGCCAGGAGUGACAUUUACCUGACAGGGAAGGUACAAGUGUCGAGUGUGUGUAUGAAAGUGAAAUGGUACUCGCAUUUGUUUUGUUUUUUUUAGAUUGGCAUGUCCGGGUCGACAAAGAAUGACGAGAAAGGAAAGCCAGAAAAUGAAAUAAACAUAAAAAAGAAUAUGUAAAAUCAAGAGAGGAAUUCUUUGUUAUCCCCUGGAAAUACGUCGAAAGUGUUACAGUUAAAUUGAAAAUAUUUGUUUUUUUUGUUGUUGUUUAUUUUUCUGCAUCCUAAUUAUUAUGUAAAUUGUUUGAUUUCUAAUAAAUCUUGUUAUUUAUAUGCGAAAAUUGUAUUUUGUAAAUUAACAGAUUAAGUGUGAAAAUAAAUGGAUAACUUAUGCUAUCAAAA